rnacentral:misc_RNA from 1 species
AUUUAAUCUUUUGCAUACAUCAUGUAACGUAUUUUUUUUUAUAAUUAAUCAAAUAGUUUAUAGCACACUUUAAUUUUUCAUGUACUUUUUAAAUUAAAAUAUUACAUUAAUCAGCUAGUUAUUUAUCAAAUUAAAAUAAUAUGAAUUUAGAGUUUUUUUUUUAUAAAAAAAUUGAAAAUGUUGAUUUUUAUAAAAUUUUUCAAAAGCAUUGAUGUGUGAAAGGAACAAAUCAACAAAUCAUUUUGUCUUUGUAAUUAAGUUGACAAGUUGCUCUUGCAAUAAGUCCAAAGAGAAUGGGAGAAUACCAGCUGCAUUUUGGACCCAUCAAGAUUCUGAGUUUGGUUAAAUUUUGGACCUCUUCAUGUGCCAUCACUAACAAGUAAUCAUACCCCAAAAGAAUCCAAUAUAUCUCUCAUUUCAUUUAUCAUAACAACAAUAGGCUUCAAAUCAGACACUCCAAGAACUUCUAAAUUAAAUAAAUCUUAUAUAUAUGCUUUAAUAAUUGCAAUUUUUUCUCUUAAUAUAUAUAUAUCCAUACUUUAAAUUACAAGAUGCAAUAAAUGAUUUUUUUAAAGAAAUUUAGAUGUAUUUCAUCUAAUAUAAACUAUAAAUUAAUCUCAUCAAAUUAAAUUAAUG